GGAACAAGAAAAAUCACAAAGUUGUGAGAAUUUGCGCAGGGCAAUUUUGUAUUGAUUUGCAGGGGUCUAACUUGGUGCACAGCGUCCCCUAUUUAUAGUACUGAUCCUUAAGUCCGAGUUUAAAUCCUACUCGGACUAGGUUUCCCUCUCCGGAUCACCUCGACCAGUCCUAUAUUUACUAGGACUAUGAAUCUAGUCCUUAGCUAAGCUGGAUUCGUUUUCUGGAUAUCCGAUCCCGUCGAGACUCCUCAUUGCACUAGGACUUGUCCUAACCGCUCUAGGUUUGGACUCCCACGGGUUGACCGAUCCAUGGCCCUUUUGCCGCCCGGCCUCCUGGGCCGAGAGUGAUCCUGCCCUCGGCCCAAACUAUUAUUUUGGGCCCAAACAGACUUAAAUUUGAGUCUCAGUUUAAAUUAGUUCAUCAUUUGUACUAUUUAAUUUUCCUAUUCUUUUUAAGUUGUUGUGUUCUUGAACGCUUUUAAUGUACCCGUACCCCAUUUUCCACUUUACUCUAUGAGAAUGGUUCUCAUAUUGGUUUGGUUAAAUUUUUUUGAGAUGUCGAAUUUGACGCUAAUUCUCAUUUUGGUUUGGUUCUCAUAAUGGAAUAUUAUAUUUAGAUGUUAGGCAUUGCAUUAUUCGGAGCAUCUAAUGCAAUGUCAUCUUCCUCUUAAACUGAAAAUUUGUUGAAGGGUAGUUCAGACGAUGUGGGAUGGGAGUAUGGGAUUUGGCAAAUCUUACAAGCUCAGAUAAGGUGCAAUGUAAGUUGUGCAACGAAAUAAUUAGUGGUGGAGUAUAUAAAUUGACACAACACAUAACCAACAUAAAAGGGAAAUGUAGCAUCGUUCACAAAGUCUUCGGAUGAGGAUAAAGUCAAAUGUAGAGCUCAAUUAGAAGAAGCCAAAAGUAAGAAGAAACGUAGGAAUAAACACAACCAGGAAGUGAGGGAAGAGGUUUAGCUUCAAGAAAUUGAAGAAGAAGAAGACAUUGACGUUGUUGGGUCAAGGAAAAGGUUGCGCACUCUUGGAUUAGGAUAUGGCAUCCACAAUCAAUCCUGAUUCUUAAAAAAAGCAAGAAGACGGGGUAACAAAACAUCCAUGAUGCAAUUUGGGGGGAUAGAGCUCAUCAAGUAUCAAUUUUUUGCUCGAUGGUGUAUAAAACCUAUAUUCAUUUAUGUGCCAUUGAUGAUGAUAGUUUCAAACACUUUGUAUAAGCAGUUGGUCAAUUUGACUCGGGUUACCAACCUUCAAGCCAAUACGAUUUAAGAAAGCCUAUAUUGAAAGAAGAGGUAAAGAGUGAAAAAUUCACUUAAGAAUAAUGAAGAAGAGUGGGCUUUGAAUGGUUACAUAAUUAUGAUUGAUGGUUGGAGCGACCAGAAGAGGAGAAGCAUACUGAAUUUGUGUCACAAUUGCAAGGAAAGCACCAUAUUUCUUUCUUCCAAGGAAUGCCCUAGUGAAGCACUCAAUGGAGAAUACAUUUUUGAAUAUGUUGAUAAGUGUGUUUAAAGAAAUCGAGCCUCAAAAUGUAAUUUAAAUGGUUAACGAUAAUGCUUCUAACAAUAUGGCGGUGAUCAACACGAUGAAGAAAAAGAGGCCAAACAUGUUUUGGAAAUCAUCUAAGUGGAACCUCAUGCUUCAAGGGAUUGAUAAUCUACCUAGGUUCAAGGGAGUUAUUGACAAGGUAAAAAUUUUCACUAUCUUCAUUUAUGCACAUCAUAAAUCUUUGGCAUGGAUGAGGAAGCAUACAAGAAAAAAGAGAAAUAGUGAGGCUGGAGUCCAUUAGAUUUGCAACCUUUUUCUCACAUUGCAAAGCUUGAGUGAUUAGAGAAAAGACUUAAAGAAUAUGGUUGCUAGUGAUGAAUGUUAACAUUGCAAACAUUCCAAGAGCCCCAAGGGGAAAACGACAUAUGCUACCAUAGUGAGUGCGCAUUCUUUGAGUGGGGUCUCACUUUGCUUGAAAGUGUUUGAACCUUUAUUUAUGGUACUUCGAAUAUGGAUGGAGAUAAAAAUGCAUCAAUGAGAUUUUUGUAAGGCGAGCCACAAAAAACAAAGAAGGAGAUUAAAGAGGCAUUAAAAAAUAGUGAGGCCAACUAUCAACCAAUUCUCUAAAUAAUUGAUGAAAAAGUUUGUGAUCGGCUCGAUAGUCUAUUGCAUUUGGCGAGCUACUUCUUGAACCCUUAUUACUUCUUCAAAGAUCAAAGCAUACAACAUGAUCCAAUUGUCAUGGAGGGCGUCUUUACUUGUCUUGAGAAGUUAUUUCCGGAUAACUAUGAUGUCCAAAACCAAAUGAUAAAUGUUUGAGAUGCAUAAGUAUGACAAAAAGAGAGGAUGAAUUUGGCCGAGGUUGGAUGCGUUGAGAAUGAUGACAACUAUAAUCCAGUUUCAUCGUGGUAUAUUUAUAGAAAUUGUAUACCUAAUUUGCAAAGGAGGGCUAUAAAGAUUCUCUCAUUGACUACAAGUUCAUCCGGUUGUGAGAGGAAUUUGAGCACUUUUGAGGAGAUACAUACAAAAGAAAAUUAAUAGAUUAAAUAUAACAAGAUUAAAUAAUUUAGUCUGUCCAAUUCAAUGCAGAGAUCAUGAAUAAGAAGAAAAGAAACAAGAAGCAGAAAAUGGAUAUAUUACUUGUAGUAUGGUGCAAGGAUGGAUUGUGGAGGGUAGUGAUGAAGAAGUUGAGCUUGAUUCAGGAAUGGAUGGAGAGACAUCGGAGGUGGGUAAGUUUCCUAGAGCCUAGGAGGAGUUUUAGAAAUGUUGAAGUGAGAGAACUUCAUGAUGAAGAUUUUGUAUCGGAUGAGGACACGGAAAGAGAUGAUGAAGUUGAGUUUGAGUCUGACAUAGAGAAAGAGUCUUAGAGGGAUAUGGAGAAGAAGAGAUUGAUGCUUAGCUUUACAACUUUGCAAUUAUCUUAUAUAAUUAUAUUUUCUUAUUCCUUCUAAUUUGCAUUUUAUGUAUUUUUAAAUUGUGAACUUGUUGGAUACAUGUAUCAUCCAUGUAUACUCCUCACAAUGAUAAUAUGUUUAAUGAAAACUCAAGAUAUUUGAUAUC